AGCAUAUCAAUAAGCGGAGGAAAAGAAACCAACAGGGAUUGCCCCAGUAACGGCGAGUGAAGCGGCAACAGCUCAAAUUUGAAAUCUGGCCCCCGGGUCCGAGUUGUAAUUUGCAGAGGAUGCUUUGGGCGAGGUGCCUUCCGAGUUCCCUGGAACGGGACGCCACAGAGGGUGAGAGCCCCGUCUGGUCGGACACCGAGCCCGUGUAAAGCUCCUUCGACGAGUCGAGUAGUUUGGGAAUGCUGCUCAAAAUGGGAGGUAUAUGUCUUCUAAAGCUAAAUAUUGGCCAGAGACCGAUAGCGCACAAGUAGAGUGAUCGAAAGAUGAAAAGCACUUUGAAAAGAGGGUUAAAAAGUACGUGAAAUUGUUGAAAGGGAAGCGCCUAUGACCAGACUUGGGCCCGGUGAAUCAUCCAGCGUUCUCGCUGGUGCACUUUGCCGGGCACAGGCCAGCAUCAGUUUGGCGCGGGGGACAAAGGCUUCGGGAAUGUGGCUCCCUCGGGAGUGUUAUAGCCCGCUGCGUAAUACCCUGCGCCGGACUGAGGUACGCGCAUCGCAAGGAUGCUGGCGUAAUGGUCAUCAGCGACCCGUCUUGAAACACGGACCAAGGAGUCGUCUUCGUAUGCGAGUGUUCGGGUGUCAAACCCCUACGCGGAAUGAAAGUGAACGCAGGUGAGAGCUUCGGCGCAUCAUCGACCGAUCCUGAUGUUCUCGGAUGGAUUUGAGUAAGAGCAUACGGGGCCGGACCCGAAAGAAGGUGAACUAUGCCUGUAUAGGGUGAAGCCAGAGGAAACUCUGGUGGAGGCUCGCAGCGGUUCUGACGUGCGAAUCGAUCGUCAAAUAUGGGCAUGGGGGCGAAAGACUAAUCGAC
rnacentral:rRNA from 1 species